rnacentral:tRNA from 1 species
GCCCAUAAGCUCAGCUGGAUAGAGCACCAGACUCCGAAUUUGGUGUCAGGAGUUCGAUCUCUUCGGGCC